rnacentral:tRNA from 1 species
GAAGGGUUUAAAGGACUGCUACUCCUUGCAUCCGAGAACAACCUCCCGGACCCAUCG